GACGAACGCUGGCGGCGUGCUUAACACAUGCAAGUCAAGGGGGCCCAGCAAUGGGCAACCGGCGAACGGGUGCGUAACACGUGAGCAAGCUACCGAUUUGUGGGGGAUAGCCGGCCCAAC
rnacentral:rRNA from 1 species